GACGAACGCUAGCGGCAUGCCUAACACAUGCAAGUCGAACGAUAAGCCCUCGGGUUAAGGCCGUCGCACGGGUGCGUAACGGGUAUACACCCUUCCUUUUAUCCUGGGUACCCCCCGGAGAAAUUUGGAUCAAUACACGAUGUUAUAAGAGCACGGCAUCGCCCACUUAUUAGAGCUACGUCGGUUAAAGAUGAGGAUGCGUUCUAUUAGCUAGUUGGAGAGGUGACGGCUUGGCAAGGAGACGAUAGAUAGGGGUUCGGGGAGGGAUGUCCCCCACACUGGUACUGGGAUACGGACCAGGGGACUACGGGAGGCAGCAGUGAGGAAUAUUGGACAGUGGUCGGAAGACUGAUCCAGCCAUGCAGCGUGCAGGAUGACGGCGUUAUGGGUUGUAAACUGCUUUUGUAAGGGUAGAAUAAGGUGUACGGGUACGUUAAUGACGGUACCGGGAGAAUAAGCAUCGGCUAACUCCGUG
rnacentral:rRNA from 1 species